AACGUAGGAGGCGAGCGUUAUCCGGAUUUACUGGGCGUAAAGGGCAAGUAGGCGGUGGCCAAAGUUGGGCGUGACAUCUCCCGGCUCAACUGGGAGGGGUCGUCCAAAACUAGGCGACUCGAGGGCAGGAGAGGGAAGCGGAAUUCCUAGUGUAGCGGUGGAAUGCUCAGAUAUUAGGAAGAACACCAGUGGCGAAGGCGGCUUCCUGGCCUGCACCUGACGCUGAGAGGCGAAAGCUAGGGGAG
rnacentral:rRNA from 1 species